GCAAAGACUGUGAAGCAGUGGAAUGUAAAGAUUAUCUCAAUUAGCAAGAAUAAGCGACACCAAGAUAGAACUGCAGCGUUGGAU